GAAUUGACGGGGGCCCGCACAAGCGGAGGAACAUGUGGUUUAAUUCGAUGAUACGCGAGGAACCUUACCCGGGCUCGAACGGCGCGCGAAGCGGGCGGAGACGCCCACGCCCCUCGGGGCGCGCGCCGAGGUGCUGCAUGGUUGUCGUCAGCUCGUGCCGUGAGGUGUCGGCUCAAGUGCCAUAACGAGCGCAACCCCUGCCGCCAGUUGCCAACAGGCAAAGCUGGGGACUCUGGCGGGACUGCCACCGCAAGGUGCGAGGAGGGGGGGGAUGACGUCAAAUCAGCACGGCCCUUACGUCCGGGGCGACACACGUGUUACAAUGGCGGCCACAGAGGGAAGCCACCCCGCGAGGGGGCGCGGAUCCGAAAAAGCCGCCUCAGUUCGGACUGGAGUCUGCAACCCGACUCCACGAAGCUGGAUUCGCUAGUAAUCGCGCAUCAGCCAUGGCGCGGUGAAUACGUUCCCGGGCCUUGUACACACCG
rnacentral:rRNA from 1 species